rnacentral:rRNA from 1 species
GACGAACGCUGGCGGCGUGCUUAACACAUGCAAGUCGAACGGAAAGGCCCUGCUUUUGUGGGGUGCUCGAGUGGCGAACGGGUGAGUAACACGUGAGUAACCUGCCCUUGACUUUGGGAUAACUUCAGGAAACUGGGGCUAAUACCGGAUAGGAGCUCCUGCUGCAUGGUGGGGGUUGGAAAGUUUCGGCGGUUGAGGAUGGACUCGCGGCUUAUCAGCUUGUUGGUGGGGUAGUGGCUUACCAAGGCUUUGACGGGUAGCCGGCCUGAGAGGGUGACCGGCCACAUUGGGACUGAGAUACGGCCCAGACUCCUACGGGAGGCAACAGUGGGGAAUAUUGCACAAUGGGCGGAAGCCUGAUGCAGCAACGCCGCGUGCGGGAUGACGGCCUUCGGGUUGUAAACCGCUUUCGCCUGUGACGAAGCGUGAGUGACGGUAAUGGGUAAAGAAGCACCGGCUAACUACGU